rnacentral:rRNA from 1 species
GACGAACGCUGGCGGCGUGCUUAACACAUGCAAGUCGAACGAAGUGGCGAACGGGUGAGUAACGCGUCAUCAACCUGCCCUUCAGAGGGGGACAACAGUUGGCAACGACUGCUAAUACCGCAUACUGAAGGAGGGGAUUGAGUCUGGUUAGCUAGUUGGAGGGGUAACGGCCCAACAAGGCGGUGAUCAGUAGCCGGUCUGGGAGGAAGAACGGCCACAUUGGGACUGGGACACGGCCCAGACUUCUACGGGGGGGAGCAGGGGGGAAGCUUCCGAAAUGGACGAAAGUCUGACGGAGCAACGCCGCGUGAGGGAUGACGACCUUCGGGUUGUAAAGCUAUGUUAAUCGGGACGCGGUACCGGAAGAGAAAGCCACGGCUAACUACGUGCCAGCAGCCGCGGUAAUUC